GAUGAAGAACGCAGCGAAAUGCGAUACGUAAUGUGAAUUGCAAAUUCAGUGAAUCAUCGAGUCUUUGAACGCACAUUGCGCCCCCUGGUAUUCCGGGGGGCAUGCCUGUCCGAGCGUCAUUGCUGCCCUCAAGCACGGCUUGUGUGAUGGGCCCCGUCCUCCGAUCCCGGGGGACGGGCCCGAAAGGCAGCGGCGGCACCGCGUCCGGUCCUCGAGCGUAUGGGGCUUUGUCACCCGCUCUGUAGGCCCGGCCGGCGCUUGCCGAUCAACCCAAAUUUUUAUCCAGGUUGACCUCGGAUCAGGUAGGGAUACCCGCUGAACUUAAGCAUAUCAAUAAGCGGAGGA
rnacentral:misc_RNA from 1 species